rnacentral:ncRNA from 2 species
AGUAACCAUGAGAGUAUCACAUCCAAAAGAGAGCACAUAGGAAGGUUGGGUGAACUUGAAAUGUUAACAUCUGAGGAACUAUUACAAGGACAAGAGAGGCUCGUUUUACCUGGGGAAGACUCAGACAGCCAUAGAAAGUAUUUUUAGAUAUCUAAAGGCCUGCCAAACAUAGAGGGGAUUACAUGUGUCCAAGUGAGCCCAAAGAGCAGUAGCCCUACUGCGGGAAGAUUGCAAGGAAAGACUUAGACUCAACAUGGAGAAGACUUUGACCAUGCUAGAACAACAGAGGCAGCAGUUGCUUACUGAACGCCAAAACUUCCACAUGGAACAGCUGAAGUAUGCUGAAUUACGAGCACGACAGCAAAUGGAACAGCAGCAGCAUGGCCAGAACCCUCAACAGGCACACCAGCACUCAGGAGGACCUGGCCUGGCCCCACUUGGAGCAGCAGGGCACCCUGGCAUGAUGCCUCAUCAACAGCCCCCUCCCUACCCUCUGAUGCACCACCAGAUGCCACCACCUCAUCCACCCCAGCCAGGUCAGAUACCAGGCCCAGGUUCCAUGAUGCCC